rnacentral:rRNA from 1 species
UGGGGAAUAUUGGACAAUGGGCGCAAGCCUGAUCCAGCCAUACCGCGUGGGUGAAGAAGGCCUUCGGGUUGUAAAGCCCUUUUGUUGGGAAAGAAAUCCAGCUUUUUCAUACCCGGUUUUGAUGACGGUACCCAACGCAUAAGCACCGGCUAACUUCGUUCCAGCCGCCGCGGUAAUACUAAGGGUGCAAGCGUUACUCGGAAUUACUUGUCGUAAAGCGUGCGGAGGUGGUCGUUUAAGUCCGUUGUGAAAGCCCUGGGCUCAACCUGGGAACUUCAGUGGAGAAGGGGAGAGUAGAAGGUGGGAGAGGGGAGAGGAAUUCAGGGGGGAGCAGGGAAAUGCGUAGAGAGCAGGAGGAACAUCCAUGGCGAAGGCAGCUACCUGGACCAACAUUGACACUGAGGCACGAAAGCGUGGGGAGCAAACA